GGAAGAUGAUUUCCCCCCCCCAUCUUGACCGCCCCCUGCCUUCGCUGCCAAGCACGGACUCCGCCGGCUCCAGCCGACCCGGUACCAGUGGUUGGAUCCAAGAGAAUUCCGGAACCCAAACGGUCCAUUACCGCGGCUCCGGGCAAAACAGUUGUUCAAGAGAGUGAAGCACUUCUGCCUCUGGAAAUGUGUAGUAACAUACUUUGCUUGUGUGUACACAUGCAGCAUCUCAAAAUGACACUGCCACAGGGAACUCAGAAGCCUGCUAUGCAGAGAACUGCUAUGGUUGGAGGUGCAUUCUAGAAGGAUCACUCUGGAAGCAGUGUAACACAUGGAUCUAAGAACUGGACUGCAAGUAUGAGGAACAGAGCGGUGGAGAGAAGAGAAGAACAGAAACUGAAAUGGAGCAAAAUUGUUGAGCAGGGGGUACCUGCGUGGCUCAGUCAUUAAGCGUCUGCCUUCAGCUCAGGUCAUGGUCCCGGGGUCCUGGGAUCGAGCCCU